GCCCGUGUAGAAAAAAAAACACUCCCCGUCCACCACCUCCCUCGAUCCCCAACCUUUCCCCGAUCUCUCUACUGUGAGGCGCCAGCGCCGUGCAUCUCUCCCCACUCCUCGAUCUCCUAGCACCGCCGCUCCCCACUUCCCUACCUCCCGGCGCCGCCGUGCCCACUUCCCCUGCCUCCUGGUGCCGCCGCUCCCCUCCACCCCGCUUCCCCUACCUCCAAGCGCCACUGCCCCAACCUCCGGCGUGCAACCAGGCUGCCUUCCGCUGCCGCCCCUUGCUCCGGCGUGCCUCCCAUCGCCCUGGCUCCGGCACGCCUCCCACCGCCGCACCCCCGGCCCUGGUGCGCCUCCAGCCGUCGCCUUCUCUCCAACACCUGUGGCCACCGGGACCAGCGACGGCACAACCAGCUACAGAUCCAGUGGGAUUCGCCCCCACUCCUGUCCAUAGUUGGGUGGCUCGCGGCAAAACAGGGCCCCCGCGCCAAAAAACGCAGUGUCCACUCCUAUGAAAAUGCUCCUCCAAUAUCUUCAGGCGGUGUGGGCAUCCGGUCGCAGAGAGAUGUGUGGAGUGCUGCAUUCCGCUCGUUGUUGACCCCGUGGCCGCAAAGGGCCGAGAUUAUUGUCGUGUGUGGACUGCAGCGACGACCGGAUCCGACCUUCACCAGCAUCACCAUUCUUCCUUCUCCUGUUCACCAACGUGCACCGCCCGUCAUGGGUUAAGACACUACUCGGACACUUUGAGGUGCCAUCGAUGGAUGUCGUGUCAAAAAGAUUCGCUCUCUUCGGCUUUAUUGCUGGGUGGAGCAUUGCAACCACUGCUGAGACUGAGACCGGACCUACCUUCCAGCUUGCACUGGCAGUCGUCUCAUGCAUAUACUUUCUAGACGACAAGAUGAAAAACCUUAGCAGGGCGUCUACUACAGGGCUUGGACUCUUUGCGAGCGGCUGGGUAGUAGGUUUGCUGGUAGUCCCAGUGAUCCCGACAUUUAUUUUGUCGCGUACUUGGUGUCUGGAGCUCCUUACUUCGCUAGUCGCUUAUGUAUUUUUAUUCUUGGGUUGCAUCCACAGGGAUCAGACUAAAUUUUUGCCUUGUGAGGUUUCUGAAUGAACAGGUUUCACUAAAUAAAAUAGAAGAGUAAUUAUGAUUAUUUGUUCCAGACUGCAACCAAGCUAACUAGCUGCCCUUGUUUUUCAGUAUGCAUAGAUUGUUUAAAGAGGAACUUACUUCACUUUUAGUAUGAUCGGGUUUCAGAAGUAAGCUAAAACAAUAUGGUUUGCAGCAGGUUCAGGCAGUUCUUUUGUUUCAAGAUCAAGAUUACUUUCAAACUACAACCAUCGUCUACUAUUUUGUUGUCCUUUCCAUUUCCCCUUGAGUAGCAUCGUCUGUUGUUUCUUUCACCAGCAUCGUCUGUUGUUUCUUUCACCUGCAGGGUGGCUUGCGUCGGCCGCCGAAGCCCGCCGAGGUGAUGCCCUACUUCUGCCUGCGUCUCCCCGCACCCCUCCUACACACCACAAAGGGCGAUGGAGAGAUCAGAUUGUUGUUGUCGCUGUUCUUCUACUACAUAUUCAGUUCAGAAAAGUUCAGCUUCGCACAGGAUGGAAGUUCAACUGCUGGGGGCACUAGCAACAGCGGUGUUUCGCUUGAUUGUAGUUUCUGCGUUUUUGCUACUGCCAGCAAAUGAGAAGAACGGCCAGCACCAAACUACUACUGCUACUGCUUGUGUUUGCUUGCAUAGUUAAUUUGGGCGUUACCAGGAAGAAGAUAAAGCCAAAAAAAUAUGGAGUGAAAGAGAUAAACGAGUAGUGUGCCUACGUGGUGUGGAUAAGAAACGUGUGUUGUGUGAGAGGAUAAGGAAUGUGUGCGACUAUUUAGUGAUAAAAAUAACUUGUGGUUCAAAGAAAAAGCAAACGUUCUAUUUACCUAGUGCUCACGGUCAGCUAUAAAGCUUGUAUUUUUUUUAACUCUGAUUCACACUCGAACUUUAUAAAAGAAUUGGAAAUUAUUUUG
rnacentral:rRNA from 1 species